rnacentral:rRNA from 1 species
UGGGGAAUCUUGCACAAUGGGCGCAAGCCUGAUCCAGCCAUGCCGCGUGGAUGAUGAAGGCCUUAGGGUUGUAAAAUCCUUUCGCCGAGGACGAUAAUGACGGUACUCGGAGAAGAAGCUCCGGCUAACUUCGUGCCAGCAGCCGCGGUAAUACGAAGGGGGCUAGCGUUGUUCGGAUUUACUGGGCGUAAAGCGCGUGUAGGCGGGUCGUUAAGUUGGGGGUGAAAUCCCGAGGCUCAACCUCGGAACUGCCUUCAAAACUGGCGACCUGGACCUAAGUAGAGGCAAGUGGAAUUGCGAGUGUAGAGGUGAAAUUCGUAGAUAUUCGCAGGAACACCAGUGGCGAAGGCGACUCACUGGACGUGUAUUGACGCUGAGGUACGAAAGCGUGGGGAGCAAACAGGAUUAGAUACCCCCGUAGUCCCUGAGCGGGCUGGCAAGGCGCAU